rnacentral:rRNA from 1 species
GAUGAACGCUGGCGGCGUGCCUAAUACAUGCAAGUCGAGCGAACGGACGAGAAGCUUGCUUCUCUGAUGUUAGCGGCGGACGGGUGAGUAACACGUGGAUAACCUACCUAUAAGACUGGGAUAACUUCGGGAAACCGUAGCUAAUACCGGAUAAUAUUUUGAACCGCAUGGUUCAAAAGUGAAAGACGGUCUUGCUGUCAUUUAUAGAUGGAUCCGCGCUGCAUUAGCUAGUUGGUAAGGUAACGGCUUACCAAGGCAACGAUGCAUAGCCGACCUGAGAGGGUGAACGGCCACACUGGAACUUAGACACGGUCCAGACUCCUACGGGAGGCAGCAGUAUGGAAUCUUCCGCAAUGGGCGAAAGCCUGACGGAGCAACGCCGCGUGAGUGAUGAAGGUCUUCGGAUCGUAAAACUCUGUUAUUAGGGAAGAACAUAUGUGUAAGUAACUGCGCACAUCUUGACGGUACCUAAUCAGAAAGCCACGGCUAACUACGUG